rnacentral:snRNA from 1 species
GGUGCUCACUUUGGCAGCAUAUACUAAAAUCGGAAGGAUACAGAGAUUAGCAUAGUCCCUGCGCAAGGAUGCGUGCAAAUUCGUGAAGCGUUCCAUUAAAAA